rnacentral:rRNA from 1 species
GAUGAACGCUGGCGGCGUGCCUAAUACAUGCAAGUCGAGCGAACAGACGAGGAGCUUGCUCCUCUGACGUUAGCGGCGGACGGGUGAGUAACACGUGGAUAACCUCCCUAUAAGACUGGGAUAACUUCGGGAAACCGGAGCUAAUACCGGAUAAUAUAUUGAACCGCAUGGUUCAAUAGUGAAAGACGGUUUUGCUGUCACUUAUAGAUGGAUCCGCGCCGCAUUAGCUAGUUGGUAAGGUAACGGCUUACCAAGGCAACGAUGCGUAGCCGACCUGAGAGGGUGUUCGGCCAAACUGGAACGGAGACACGGCCCAGACACCUACGGGAGGCGGAAGUGGGGAAUCUUCCGCAAUGGGCGAAAGCUUGACGGAGCAACGCCGCGUGAGUGAUGAAGGUCUUCGGAUCGUAAAACUCUGUUAUUAGAGAAAAACAAAUGUGUAAGUAACUAUGCACGUCUUGACGGUACCUAAGAAGAAAGCCACGGCUAACUACGU